GAAAUGGCAAUGCCGUAAAAAUCGCUUGCUAGGUCAGUAAAUUUCAGUGAAAUCCUACAAUAAAAUGUCCGCUCCUAGAUUGAAAUACUUAUCUGUGUUACAAAUGUUACAAACAGGUGCUGAAAAAUGUACAUUAUCAGAAAAUAAUCCUUAAAUGUGUUUUAAAUUUACACCGGAUCAAUUAAAUCCAAAUCAUGCACUGCUGGUGAACUUUGAUCAAAAAUGUCAAUUUCCUACAAUGACAAAAGAAAUACAUUGUGUACAUUCCGUCUCUAUACAUGUUGUCUGUUCAACGUCCCCACCUAAAAAGGAAUAAAAAGUUUUCGUUAUUAUAAACCCGUGUCACGUGAUGUCUCCUCAAUCUGGCGCGAGAGUCGCGCGCUGGACCUGAAAUAAAAUAAAAACUUUCUAAACUAAACAUGAAACUUCUCCGGUAACAUAAUAAUAUAGACCC
rnacentral:lncRNA from 1 species